rnacentral:rRNA from 1 species
UACGGGGGGAGCAAGCGUUGUUCGGAAUUACUGGGCGUAAAGGGCUCGUAGGUGGCCAACUAAGUCAGACGUGAAAUCCCCAGGCUCAACUUGGGAACUGCGUCUGAUACUGGAUGGCUUGAAUUCGGGAGAGGGAUGCAGAAUUCCGAGGUGUAGGCGGGUGAAAUGACGUAGAUAUCUGGAGGAAUACCGGGUGGCGAAGGCGGCAUCCGUGGGACCGAGAGUUGACACUGAUGAGCGAAAGCUAGGGGAGCAAACGGGAGUUAG